CCCAAGACAUUGCCACAACCGAGUGAGGUUCAGGCCGUUGCGGAUUGCACUGGCCGGACUUUCUAAAUUACCCAAUCACGUUCCAGGUGGCUCUGAAACUCGAGGAACAUCACCGUUGUCGCUCCCGUGCUCCCUUAAUACAAUUAUAAAUCCCUCUUCCGACUCCAAGUAUCUAAUAUAAUAUCUUAGAUCAGUACCGUCUCUGCUUUGCUGAUUAAGUCUGCCCCUCCCGUAGCGGCGUAGCCCCAUUCCCGGUUUCACUUCGCUUUUGGGGGGAAAAUAGUUGCAACUCGCAGAGCAGCCUCAGCUUUGCAACCCUGUUCCUGCACUCUGGUUUCACUUCACUUUGGUCCUCUGUGGAACACGACCUAAGCUUGUCAUCUUGGACUUUGAUGCAAAGUUGUAGAAGUUUCAGGGAUGGCUGGUAGGGAAGUUCGAGAAUACACCAACCUCACCGAUCCAAAAGACAGGAAAUUGGGUAAAGGAAAGGAUAAAAUUGAUGACGAAGAUAUCACUUUCCAGCGGAUGGUGGCCAAGGUUAGCGAAUCGGACCUUCUAUCUUUUUUUUUUUUUUGGUUGGUGUUAUUAAGAUGCUUCUUUUUUUCUUCCAUGUUGAACAUAAAAAGAUAGGGUCUCUCUGCUUUUCUUGAAGCCUUCAUCUUGUUGUUUGAUUGAAAUGAAGACUUUCAGGGUGAUGAUUGGAAUCCUUGUUGAAUGAAAUGAUAAGUUCUUCAUAGCAUUUAAAAGCAUAAUUUCGUCGCUGGAAUGCAUAGAAAUACUUUCAUAUCAUGCAAUCCUUAAUUGGCCUCAUUUCUCACCUCCCUCCUAAAGUAGAUAUUUAGGAUAUUAGUUUAUUUAUUAUGAUUUAAUUUCCUUUUUGGGUUACUUUAUUAGAGUCUGAUUUGUAACAGGUUACUCCCAUUACAGCAUACUUAUGGAGGGUUUCCUUAUUUUCCUUAUUUGAGUUAUCUGUUUUAGGUCUUUAGUUUCUUAUUUAUAUGGAUGUAAUUCAAUUUAGAAUUGAAGAAUUGAAGAAUGGAAUAUUGAGUUUUGUUUAAUAGUAGUCUCUGUGGCUUAUGGCAGCUUGGCUGUCGUCCUCUUCUCCUUGCCCCUCCCUAUGAUUCUGAUUCUUUCCUUCCCUCAAGGUCUGUUUUCACUAACCUUCUUCUUAAUCUUUCUAUAUCUCUUUCUUUCCCUAUUUCUGUUUCUUUCUCUUAUUUUCUCCCCCCCCCCCGCGCCGCUGUUUAAUCCCCGAUGUUUUGUUAGUUUCCUGCUACUAGUGACGAAACAUAAACCUAUGAAGAGGUCAUCGACCUAACAUAGCUCACUGAUUUGGUCUGAGAUUUGGGGCAAUAAUCUCCUUUAUUGGGCAAUAGGAACCCUAGAAUACCAGUCCGAGAGUGCACUCUGUAGUUAGAAUCGAUUUCAACAAGAACCUGGUUCUCCUUCUUCCACUAGGUUCAACCUUCUUUGGCUAAACACCACCAUGAAUCACUUGUUGUCUGGGUGCCUCUUGGUCGAUUAUCAGAGACCUAAGUGUGAGGAUCCACCUGAAAUUUCUGGCCAGUCUAUGGGUGUAAGGAGUUCUUCCCUUCAAGGUAGCUGAUGUUUUCCGCCUCCCUGUUUUGUCUGGAGGUAGGGGACGAGCGAUCCCCCUCCCCUCUUUCUUUGAUAUUUUAAUUAUUUACUCUUUAUUACCAAGAUUACCCCACAUAUACCUUUAAUUUAUUUCAUUCCAAGUCUAUCCUCACUUUACAAUUCUAAUCACCUUCUAACCCCACAUAUACCUUUAAUUUAUUUCCUUCCAAAUCUAUCCUCACUUUAUAAUUCUAAUCACCUUGUAUCCCUUCCCCUAUUACUAUCAAUUGCCAUCGAGAUUCUGGUUAUUUACGGUACUGCCACUACCCUUGCAAACGUGGAGUUUUGUACAGAAUUGCCAUUAUUUAUCUACUUUUGGAUAUUUACACCUGGGUGGACCCAUAGCGAACCCAACAGUGUUUCCGAAUACCGAAAUUGCAUCACCUCCCCUGGUGAGCUGUCAUGAAACAACUUUCGACUUUGAAACUGUGCAUUCAUAUGCAUGAAAAAUAAAACAUAUCUGACGAUUUCCAGAUGCCCAUAAAGUCUAUAUCUGGUGACUGUACUUUGAUGGAUAGUCCGAGGUCCUUUGAUAACCAGAUCAUUUUUGGUUGAACAGGACAAAUUUUGUUCACUCAUUAUGCUUUGAAAUUGUGGUAUCUCAAUAAAGAGAAAAGAACCUUUGAUUAGAGAGAAUACUUAGUAGUCUGUUCAUCUGUUGGUUUUGAGAAGGCCCUGCUGAACUAUUUUCUUGGUAAUAGAUGAUUUCAGCUAAAUAAUCUAACAGCUCUUCCACCGAGUUUUUGGACAUUGAAUGUAUACAAGUAUAUUAGUCAAACUGUUUCAGAUACAAAUCAUACAGUGUCCAUUUUCAUCUUAUCCUCCAUCUGACUAGACUUUGUGAUGCAGAUUAAUUACCAAAAUAGGUUUGUUUUAUUAGGAAUAAGCCUAGGGUUGGGUUCUAUACAUGUUAGGCUUUUGAUCCCAUGUGUUUUGAGUGUAAUAGACCACUUUUAUGGGUCU